rnacentral:lncRNA from 1 species
GUGUGAGAUGGCCCAGCUCCAGGAUGAAACUCAACUUUAGGGAAGCUGGGGAGAGCCUCACAGCGCUGGACAAGCCAUCAGAUGGCACUGCCCCCAGGGACACACCCGGGGGCGUGGACAGGGAUAUGGAGGACCUAAGGCAAAGGGUGGCUUCAAACGUGACAGCAGAUCAGCCGCUGGGGAAAUACCAGAGGGGAUUUGACAGCUGGGCCAGGUGUUCCAGGACAGCACUUUCCAAAAGAUUUUCCAUCCAAACUUCCAGCAAGAAGUAGAUCUUCCAUCGUUAUCCAGAGCAUAUCUACGCAUUCAGAUGAAGAAAACAACACUGACAUGCAUUAUCUCCCAACACCAACCUCAACCCAGCCCUGGAGUGUGAGCAGAGCCAGCAGCAUUUCCAGCCCCGCCUCUGGAGGAAGGAGAGGAACCUGAGACUCUUGGGUGACCUGAGGCGUCUCUGGCAGCACCAGCAAAAGAGCCUGGCCCUGGCCGCCCAGCACAGGUGCUCAGUCCCUCCUGACUGCCACUGCUCCCUCAACACCAAAGCACAGGGUCGCGAGAUGUUGGGAGAGGGUCGGGGAUGCUGGGCUGGGAGAGGACCGGGGGCCUGUCAGAAGCCAUGACAUGAUGCACUCACCGCUCAGGAGGAAGCUACUGGCCUUUGAGUGAAAUCUAUAAGAAUGAACUCUGGAGAUGUAUCGUACAACAUGGAGUCUACAGUUAAAAACUGUAUUGUAUACUGGAAAAUUGCUAAGAUUAGAUCUUCCAUGUUCUCACUACAAAAGCAUAAGUAUGUGAGAUGACGGACGUGUGUGUCAGCUUGAUUUAAUCAUUUUGCAGUGUGGCAAAGCAUCGCACUGUAGGUGGUAAAUAUAUAUACAGUUUUGUCAAUUAUACCUUCAGGAAGCUGGGGUGGUUGGUGUGUGUGUGUGUGUCUGUGUGAUGUGAGGUCAGUGAGGUGCUGAACAUGGUGCAUUAAACAGCA